rnacentral:sRNA from 1 species
AUAGAGCUUCUUCACAGCCUGUUUGAUGUGGUGCUUGUUGGCUUUAACAUCCACAGUGAACACAAGCGUGUUGUUUUCUUCUAUCCUCUUCACGGCCGACUCCGUGGUCAGCAGAAACUUGAUGAUAGCAUAGUGGUCAAGCUUGUUUCUCCUGGGGGUGCUCUUGGAGGAUAUUCAGGCCGCCUCCGGCAUCACAGUGUCUUGGGCCGCUGGAAGAAGAGUCUCUCCAUUGCCAACGCUCUGUGACUUAGCAGACGUCUCUGGACUUCCGUCUGGGGAUUCUUAUCCACCUUCAAGUUCACCAGCCCUCAGCUGGAGCACUGGAAGUGGGGGCUCUGCCACUUCUCUCCCUCUCUGAGGUAGGGCUGGUGUCCGAGCACUUCUCGCAGGCCCCGCAGAGGCUGUCCUUCUACAGCUGGUACGGCAGUGCCAGGCUCUUUCGCUUCCGCGUGCCCCCAGACACCGUGCUUCUGCGCUGGCUACUGCAGGUCUCCCGGGAGAGCGGCGCCGCCUGCACCGACGCAGAGAUCACCGUGCACUUCCGUUCCGGCGCCCCUCCGGUCAUCAACCCACUGGGCACCAGCUUCCCGGAUGACACCGCGGUGCAGCCCUCCUUCCAGGUCAGGGUGCCGCUGAGCGCCGCACCGCUAAGCAAUGCCUCCGUCAACGUUUCCCACCCGGCCCCCGGGGACUGGUUCGUGGCCGCCCACCUGCCCCCGUCAUCCCAGAAGAUCGAGUUGAAGGGCUUGGCUCCCACCUGUGCCUACGUCUUCCAGCCUGAACUGCUGGUCACACGGGUG